UACCGCAAGAGUUUUUAAAAAAAAAAAUUGUUUAAAGUUGAGACUUGAGAGUGAGAGGCAUGUGAACUCAGCCUGAACCAUCUUAGGAGCCCUGCACUCUUAAACCUAGGCUUCAUAUCUAAAACUACCUACAGUAAUCAUCACAAACAAUCCAUAAUAGCACUCAACAAUUAUGAAUAACUCCUUGGAGUAAUGAAAUUACCUCAAAAUUGAUGGGUCAAAAUUUUAAACUGAUGUAAAGGAAUAUGCUCUAAAAAGUGAAAGGUAAAGCUAUUCUUAUAACUGUCAGAGGUACACCAUAAAAGUAUUAAAUUUAAGCCCGCAUAAGGAAAAUAAAAUAUCAAUAAAAAUAACAAGAAGAAAAGGAACUUUAUACAUUAAUUGUAUUGGUUAUUUGCAUAGAUUAAACAAAUUUCAAGAUGAGUUAAAGGAAUAUGUACUGGAAGAGGGGAUUAGAGCAAAAGCACCACCAUGCUACUGAUUACUAUGCAGGACCUAGAGCUUCAAAUUCUACAUACAUUUUCAUUUCAUGAAACUAAAUAAAGCCAUCUAGAAAAUUCCUAACAUAAAGUACAGCAACAUAAAGAAUUUUCAGGCACUCUAUAUGCUCAUUUUUCUGGGAAUGUAUCUUUGUUCGCUUUGUUCAAUUUCCUUUCUAUCUUUUCCCAUGUAAAAGUGCAUGGUUUACCCCUCCACAACACAAUUUAACAUACAUACAACUCAUCAAUUGGAGUAGGGAUCAAGGAAGAGAUGAUUCUCCCCAAAGUGUAUAGUUUACUUACUCACCAUUGUUAAUGUACAUAUAACAUGAUAUAUGUGUUAAGUAUAUUUUUAAAGAGAGAAAGAAAGGAGAGGUUGGGGGAGUAUAGAAGGAAAAUGAAGGGCAAACUAAUGAUAACACUAUUAAUUUAACCAUUGGGACUAUAGUCCAAUCUCCAAUGGUCAAGUGUCUACCUCGUAUUAAAAGAAGUGAAGAAUUCAAAUCCCGACAUCCUCUACCUCUCCCUAUCUCCAUUUCCCUUCUCCUUACAAAAAAUAAUAAUCAUUUGUGGGGGGAAAAAAGCCAUAGGAUUUGCGCAACUGUAUAGGUCUUAUGUCUCCUAACUGUAUCCUACUUUCCACACUAAUUUUAGAAGCAAAGCGAUAGAAAAUUCCUAAAGCAUGACCCCAAAUCAAAUUCAGAAAUUCCACCCUCAAUCUGUCUAAAUCAAAUCUAUGAAUCUAACAUAACUUAUCACUUGUCCUGCUGCCAAUCUAUGGGUUAAACACAAAGGUACUCGCGAUUGUACAGUAUGUGUGGUCUAUAAAUAGUCACAGUCAGGUUCAAUCCAUGGGCUACACAAUGAUGAUGCUCUUCCUUUCCCUUAACAACUACCAAAGACUGCAGCAACCUAAGGGAAAAAAAAUAGAAUAAUUUUACUUCAUUCCCAACUCAAUGUCAAACUGUUCAUACAGCAGGCAAUAUAAACAUCCAAACUGCAUAUAGAAGCUGUAAAAUGUCAAGAUCUACUGGUCUCCAUCGCAAAUCUCAAUCGAAAACCAGGAUGACAAAACAUUC
rnacentral:misc_RNA from 1 species